AACGAACGCUGGCGGCGUGGAUAAGACAUGCAAGUCGAACGGGACAGACCGAGUAGCAAUAUUUGGAAUGUUCAGUGGCAAACGGGUGCGUAACACGUGGAUAACAUUCCGGAAAGCGGGGAGUAGCCCAGGGAAACUUGGAUUAAUACCGCAUGUGGCCGCAAGGCUAAAGACGGGGACCGCAAGGCCUGUCACUUUCCGAUUGGUCCGCGGCCUAUCAGCUAGUUGGCGGGGUAAUGGCCCACCAAGGCUACGACGGGUAGCUGGUCUUAGAGGACGACCAGCCACACUGGAACUGAGACACGGUCCAGACACCUACGGGUGGCAGCAGUCGAGAAUCUUUCACAAUGGGGGCAACCCUGGUGGAGCGACGCCGCGUGGAGGAUAAGGUCUUCGGAUUGUAAACUCCUGUCAUGCGAGAACAAGGUACUCAGGCUAAUAACCUGAUUGUUUGAUGGUACCGCAAGAGGAAGAGACGGCUAACUCUGUGCCAGCAGCCGCGGUAACAC
rnacentral:rRNA from 1 species